rnacentral:rRNA from 1 species
GUACGUACAAGCAGUGGGAGCACAGAGCAAUCUGUGUGACUGCGUACCUUUUGUAUAAUGGGUCAGCGACUUAUAUUCUGUAGCAAGGUUAACCGAAUAGGGGAGCCGAAGGGAAACCGAGUCUUAACUGGGCGUUAAGUUGCAGGGUAUAGACCCGAAACCCGGUGAUCUAGCCAUGGGCAGGUUGAAGGUUGGGUAACACUAACUGGAGGACCGAACCGACUAAUGUUGAAAAAUUAGCGGAUGACUUGUGGCUGGGGGUGAAAGGCCAAUCAAACCGGGAGAUAGCUGGUUCUCCCCGAAAGCUAUUUAGGUAGCGCCUCGUGAAUUCAUCUCCGGGGGUAGAGCACUGUUUCGGCAAGGGGGUCAUCCCGACUUACCAACCCGAUGCAAACUGCGAAUACCGGAGAAUGUUAUCACGGGAGACACACGGCGGGUGCUAACGUCCGUCGUGAAGAGGGAAACAACCCAGACCGCCAGCUAAGGUCCCAAAGUCAUGGUUAAGUGGGAAACGAUGUGGGAAGGCCCAGACAGCCAGGAUGUUGGCUUAGAAGCAGCCAUCAUUUAAAGAAAGCGUAAUAGCUCACUGGUCGAGUCGGCCUGCGCGGAAGAUGUAACGGGGCUAAACCAUGCACCGAAGCUGCGGCAGCGACACUGUGUGUUGUUGGGUAGGGGAGCGU